UACGUAGGGUGCGAGCGUUAAUCGGAAUUACUGGGCGUAAAGUGUGCGCAGGCGGCCGAGCAAGUCGAGUGUGAAAGCCCCGAGCUUAACUUGGGAACUGCGCUCGAAACUACUUGGCUAGAGUGUGGCAGAGGGAGGUGGAAUUCCACGUGUAGCGGUGAAAUGCGUAGAUAUCAGGAGGAACACCGGUGGCGAAGGCGGCCCUCUGGACGGAUACUGACGCUGAGGCGCGAAAGCGUGGGGAGCGAACAGG
rnacentral:rRNA from 1 species